rnacentral:misc_RNA from 1 species
AAGUCGUAACAAGGUAACCGUAGGUGAACCUGCGGUUGGAUCAUUACAAAAAUGAGUUGUGCAGCAACUCUGCUGGUUGCUCUUCUGCCUUUUGGCAAAAGAUGUGGCCAGCAGAUGAUGCCAACAACCAAUACAACACCCUUGUGUGAACCGUUUUGUCUCUGGCAGUUGGACGGAUGCUGUUGGGUACUUCUUCCCGUGCGCCCAUGGGUUGCGGGGGUGAGAAAAUGUCCUUGCAGUGGCAUCCGUUUGUCAGCUUGGCUGUGCCCGAGCCGUGGACAAGCUGCCGCCCAUGAUCUUCAUGAUCUUUUUACAAACGCUGUGUUUCUUUUAUGUUUUUGAAGUGUCUGACAUGUACAUGAAAUGUGCAAACAACUUUUGGCAACGGAUCUCUUGGCUCUC